CGAGACCGAAUCCUUACAUUACAUACCCUUCUACAAACCCCAACAUACACAAACAGGGGAUAUAAAACCCAGAAAAACUCCUCUCUCUAACCGCAAGCUCCUGUGUGGUUUGCUGAAAGCCUCGACAAGAACUCGCAAGUAGUGAUCCAUAGCCAUCGCCAGUAAUGAAAUCGAUCUCCAACAAAGGCCCCAACCCCCUGUGACCCACUGUAAUCACUCCUCUUACCCACAAAAUGCCAACAAAAUCCCAGAAGAAGCAAUUUCAUCUUUAUGUUAAUCUAAGGGCAUUGUCGGCCGUGCCAAAACAAUCCCUGCCAUGCCGGGCUCAGACCCUGUUCAGCCACCAACACCCUCGGCCUUGUCUCACACCAUUAGUAUCCUCGUUGUUGAUUUUACCCUCCUCCCCAAUGUUUAUUUGCCACAAGUGACAAACAAAUACGACCCAAUCCAUCUAUUGUGCAAUUGAACACAGGUGGAAUUCGAUGCAUAAAUCAAAAUCAAGAUCCCGAAUCAUCGGUAAAAGCCUAGCAGCACACCAUAACAUUGAGAGUCCAAAAUGUAACCCUAUAUAUAAUUCCAAUUUGUGCAACCAAACACGAAGCCCAACAUACUAUAUUCAACAGAGCAUACAUCAAAAUUGAGACCCAGGAUCUUCGGUAAAAGCCUAGAAGCACACCAUAACGUUCAGAAUUCAAAAUGUAACUCUGUGACUCCAAUUCAUCAAUUUGCACAACAUACAAAGAGUCUAAAGUCUGACUCUUGACAUGGCAGUCUUGGGUAAAUCCAACAUUCCCUCAGCAUAAUUCUAUCUCACAUAUCAGAUAUUUUGAAGAUCUCCUAUAAAGUUUAGGAGAUUUUGAAUUUCAAGUCCUUUCAAAUAUUUAAAAAAAAAAAUCAAUAACCUCAUGAAACUAGGAUUUAAGUAGAUAACAACUUUCCUAAGUAUGGAACUUCUUUACAUCUCGACAACGUCAAGAAAUAAGGAUUUUAACAAAAGCCAAUUUUACUGAAGUCUAGGACUUCUAUAAAUCUUGAUGAACUCAAGAAAUUAAGACAUCAAUUGAGAUCAAUUUUUCUAUUGGAAAUUAAUUGUACAAUUCAAAGCCUGCCUCUCUCUCUCUCUCUCUCUCUCU
rnacentral:lncRNA from 1 species